rnacentral:rRNA from 1 species
GACGAACGCUGGCGGCGUGCUUAACACAUGCAAGUCGAACGGAAAGGCCCUGCUUUUGUGGGGUGCUCGAGUGGCGAACGGGUGAGUAACACGUGAGUAACCUGCCCUUGACUUUGGGAUAACUUCAGGAAACUGGGGCUAAUACCGGAUAGGAGCUCCUGCUGCAUGGUGGGGGUUGGAAAGUUUCGGCGGUUGGGGAUGGACUCGCGGCUUAUCAGCUUGUUGGUGGGGUAGUGGCUUACCAAGGCUUUGACGGGUAGCCGGCCUGAGAGGGUGACCGGCCACAUUGGGACUGAGAUACGGCCCAGACUCCUACGGGAGGCAGCAGUGGGGAAUAUUGCACAAUGGGCGGAAGCCUGAUGCAGCAACGCCGCGUGCGGGGUGACGGCCUUCGGGUUGUAAACCGCUUUCGCCUGUGACGAAGCGUGAGUGACGGUAAUGGGUAAAGAAGCACCGGCUAACUACGUGCCAGCAGCCGCGGUGAUACGUAGGGUGCGAGCGUUGUCCGGAUUUAUUGGGCGUAAAGGGCUCGUAGGUGGUUGAUCGCGUCGGAAGUGUAAUCUUGGGGCUUAACCCUGAGCGUGCUUUCGAUACGGGUUGACUUGAGGAAGGUAGGGGAGAAUGGAAUUCCUGGUGGAGCGGUGGAAUGCGCAGAUAUCAGGAGGAACACCAGUGGCGAAGGCGGUUCUCUGGGCCUUUCCUGACGCUGAGGAGCGAAAGUGUGGGGAGCGAACAGGCUUAGAUACCCUGGUAGUCCACGCUGUAAACGGUGGGUACUAGGUGUGGGGUCCAUUCCACGGGUUCCGUGCCGUAGCUAACGCUUUAAGUACCCCGCCUGGGGAGUACGGCCGCAAGGCUAAAACUCAAAGGAAUUGUCGGGGCCCCGCACAAGCGGCGGAGCAUGCGGAUUAAUUCGAUGCAACGCGUAGAACCUUACCUGGGUUUGACAUGGAUCGGGAGUGCUCAGAGAUGGGUGUGCCUCUUUUGGGGUCGGUUCACAGGUGGUGCAUGCCUGUCGUCAGCUCGUGUCGUGAGAUGUUGGGUUAAGUCCCGCAACGAGCGCAACCCUUGUUCACUGUUGCCAGCACGUUAUGGUGGGGACUCAGUGGAGACCGCCGGGGUCAACUCGGAGGAAGGUGGGGAUGGCGUCAAGUCCUCAUGCCCCUUAUGUCCAGGGCUUCACGCAUGCUACAAUGGCUGGUACAGAGAGUGGCGAGCCUGUGAGGGUGAGCGAAUCUCGGAAAGCCGGUCUCAGUUCGGAUUGGGGUCUGCAACUCGACCUCAUGAAGUCGGAGUCGCUAGUAAUCGCAGAUCAGCAACGCUGCGGUGAAUACGUUCCCGGG